AACGAACGCUGGCGGCAUGCCUAACACAUGCAAGUCGAACGAGACCUUCGGGUCUAGUGGCGCACGGGUGCGUAACGCGUGGGAACCUGCCCUUAGGUUCGGAAUAACUCCCCGAAAGGGGUGCUAAUACCGGAUAAUGUCUUCGGACCAAAGAUUUAUCGCCUUUGGAUGGGCCCGCGUUGGAUUAGCUAGUUGGUAGGGUAAAAGCCUACCAAGGCGACGAUCCAUAGCUGAUCUGAGAGGAUGAUCAGCCACACUGGGACUGAGACACGGCCCAGACUCCUACGGGAGGCAGCAGUGGGGAAUAUUGGACAAUGGGCGAAAGCCUGAUCCAGCAAUGCCGCGUGAGUGAUGAAGGCCUUAGGGUUGUAAAGCUCUUUUACCCGGGAUGAUAAUGGCAGUACCGGGAGAAUAAGCUCCGGCUAACUCCGUG
rnacentral:rRNA from 1 species